AUUAAGAUUUUUGUGGCAAAAUUUUUCUGGUAAACAUAAUCAUUGAAAAAUGGAAAAUGACGUCAUAAUAUCACAUAAUUGAAAAUAUGUAGUACUGCGAUUGAUGGGGAACGAGUAUAAAAGAAUGCGCGACACUAUGAAUGGCUUGCAAUUCGGCAACUCGAGUAAUCCCGGAUUAUCGGAUGUCUUCCAAUAUCGACCAAUACUCUUAGAGAGCUGAAUACAUACAUGAAAGUCAAAUGGAUACAUUCCUGAGUAUGCUUUCUCAUAGUUGACUCUCACAUCGUUCGAGAGCAGAAAAUUUUCGAAGUACCCUCAAGUGGACACACAACUUGAAAAUACUCUCGGGAGCAACUAUCAAAAGAAACUCUCAGAUGGACAUCAGAGAAUCAGAGAGAAAAAGAAACAGAGAGAGAGAGAGAGGGAUGCAACCACGGAAUUUCCAAUCGAGCGAAGGCGAUGGUAACGGAGCGAGAAACUACACAAAGGCACCCGAAGUACUUGGAAAUAGUUUAGCAAGA